GGGGUUGUAGCUCAGUGGUACAGCGCUUGCCUCAAAUGCAUGAGGCCCUGGGUUUGGUCCCCAGCACCA
rnacentral:tRNA from 1 species